CCUACGGGUGGCAGCAGUGGGGAAUAUUGCACAAUGGGGGAAACCCUGAUGCAGCGACGCCGCGUGAGUGAAGAAGUAAUUCGUUACGUAAAGCUCUAUCAGCAGGGAAGAAAAUGACGGUACCUGAGUAAGAAGCCCCGGCUAACUACGUGCCAGCAGCCGCGGUAAUACGUAGGGGGCAAGCGUUAUCCGGAUUUACUGGGUGUAAAGGGAGCGUAGACGGUGCGCCAAGUCAGCUGUGAAAACUACGGGCUUAACCUGUAGACUGCAGUUGAAACUGGCUUUCUUGAGUGAAGUAGAGGUUGGCGGAAUUCCGAGUGUAGCGGUGAAAUGCUUAGAUAUCACGAAGAACUCCGAUUGCGAAGGCAGUUCACUGGACUGCAACUGACACUGAGGCUCGAAAGUGUGGGUAUCAAACAGGAUUAGAUACCCCAGUAGUC
rnacentral:rRNA from 1 species